rnacentral:rRNA from 1 species
CNCUNCGCGUGGGGGAUGAAUGGCUUCGGCCCGUAAACCCCUGUCAUUUGCGAUCAAACCUCAUUAUUUAAAAGAUGAUGAGCUGAUAGUAGCGAAAGAGGAAGGGACGGCUAACUCUGUGCCAGCAGCCGCGGUAAUACAGAGGUCCCAAGCGUUGUUCGGAUUCACUGGGCGUAAAGGGUGCGUAGGUGGUGAGGUAAGUCGGAUGUGAAAGCUCGGAGCUCAACUCCGAAAUGGCAUUGGAAACUACCUUGCUCGAGGGUUGGAGGGGGGACUGGAAUACUUGGUGUAGCAGUGAAAUGCGUAGAUAUCAAGUGGAACACCAGUGGCGAAGGCGAGUCCCUAGACAACUCCUGACACUGAGGCACGAAAGCUAGGGGAGCAAACAGGAUUAGAUACCCUGGUAGUCCUAGCCGUAAACGGUGCACGUUUGCUGUAAGAGGAAUCGACCCCUCUUGUGGCGGAGCCAACGCGUUAAACGUGCCGCCUGNGAAGUACGGUCGCAAGAUUAAAACUCAAAGGAAUUGACNGA